CAGUAGGGAAUCUUCGGCAAUGGGGGCAACCCUGACCGAGCAACGCCGCGUGAGUGAAGAAGGUUUUCGGAUCGUAAAGCUCUGUUGUCAGAGAAGAACGUGUGUGAGAGUGGAAAGUUCACACAGUGACGGUAACUUACCAGAAAGGGACGGCUAACUUCGUGCCAGCAGCCGCGGUA
rnacentral:rRNA from 1 species